UGGAUGCUGGGACAGCUAAGAGAAGAGAGAGGAAAGCAGUAAGGUUUUAUGAGAUGAGAAUCGGGGACCCAAAGUUUGCCUGACACCAGGGUGGAGGGGCUGUUUAUUCAAGGUCACACUGACCUUGAUGGUGGGACCAAGACCUGAAUUUGAAUUGCUUGCUUUUUGCUGUGGACUCCUUCCUCCAGAAUCUCCCAUGGAAAUCUUUCCCUUGACUUCCUCACCUCUGAGUUUUCAUGACUGACAAGGGCAGACUGGAAGUGGAGGAGCAUCUGCUGUAGGGCAUCGCAAGGGUUUGAGCAAGAUUUGUGGACAGCUUGAAAAGAAAUGCCCAGAGGUCAUUGGUCCUGGUGGCAGAGAAGCCUGCAACAGAAAAAAAAUCCUACAAGUCACAAGAAGUCACUGAAGAUCCCAAACAGAUAAAGUAAUCAUGAGCGUGAAAAACAAAUCUGAGAGCAGCACAUUUCCUGCCUUAAAAAUAAAUUACAAAUCCACAAUGAACAAAACAAUAUAGUACUGACAAAAAUUAGACACAGACAUCUAUUGAACAGAAAAGAUAUCCUUGGAAAUGAAAUCUUCAAAUACAAGGUCCAACUCAUCUUCUAUAAGAAUAUCAAGAAUACUACAUGGGGAAUGGGUAGUCUCCUGAAUAAAUCAUGUUGGGAAAACUGAACAUCUACAUGCAGAAGAAAGAAAUUGAACUCUUAUUUUAAACAUAAAA